GGUUAGGGUUAAAGUGUGUAAGGAGACACAGGAUGAAUGCGAACUACUUUUGUUAUUGUACUUUUGAUGAAAACUGACUUUCUAGACAUAAAAUGUCACUUUUUUCACCUUAUCAUACUUUUUCAUCAACUUUUGCAUUUUAAUGUAAACAAUCAUAUUUCGUAAUAUUUUGGGUCAGAAACAUCUCUUAGUGCUAUAUUAUGUCUAACUAUGUGAAAAAAAUCAAAUUGGAGUAGGUCGGGCAACUGAUUAUAUGAGUUUGUUAGAAAAACCACUUUCCUUUGCUCCUAGCGCCUUCUCGUUCGCUCUAUAGCGUUUUGAGCGGAUAAAGAGCACAAGUGUGUAAGGAGACACAGGAUGAAUGCGAACUACUUUUGUUGAUUUUUUUCACAUAGUUAGACAUAAUAUAGUACUAAGAAAUGUUUCUGACCCAAAUAUUACGAAAUAUGAUUGUUUACAUUAAAAUGCAAAAGUUGAUGAAAAAGUAUGAUAAGGUGAAAAAAGUGACAUUUUAUGUCUAGAAAGUCAGUUUUCAUCAAAAGUACAAUAACAAAAGUAGUUCGCAUGCAUCCUGUGUCUCCUUACACACUUGUGCUCUUUAUCCGCUCAAAACACUAUAGAGCGAACGAGAAGGCGCUAGGAGCAAAGGAAAGUGGUUUUUCUAACAAACUCAUAUAAUCAGUUGCCCGACCUACUCCAAUUUGAUUUUUUUCACAUAGUUAGACAUAAUAUAGUACUAAGAAAUGUUUCUGACCCAAAAUAUUAUGAAAUAUGAUUGUUUACAUUAAAAUGCAAAAGUUGAUGAAAAAGUAUGAUAAGGUGAAAAAAGUGACAUUUUAUGUCUAGAAAGUCACUUUUCAUCAAAAGUACAAUAACAAAUCUAGUUCACAUUCAUCCUGUGUCCCCUUACACACUUGUGCUCUUUAUCCGCUCAAAACGCUAUAGAGCGAACGAGAAGGCGCUAGGAGCAAAGGAAAGUGGUUUUUCUAACAAACUCAUAUAAUCAGUUGCCCGACCUACUCCAAUUUGAUUUUUUUCACAUAGUUAGACAUAAUAUAGUACUAAGAGAUGUUUCUGACCCAAAAUAUUACGAAAUAUGAUUGUUUACAUUAAAAUGCAAAAGUUGAUGAAAAAGUAUGAUAAGGUGAAAAAAGUGACAUUUUAUGUCUAGAAAGUGACUUUUCAUCAAAAGUACAAUAACAAAACUAGUUCACAUUCAUCCUGUGUCCCCUUACACACUUGUGCUCUUUAUCCGCUCAAAACGCUAUACAGCGAACUAGAAGGCGCUAGGAGCAAAGGAAAGUGGUUUUUAUAACAAACUCAUAUAAUCAGUUGCCCGACCUACUCCAAUUUGAUUCUUGUCGCAUAUUUACACAUAAUAUAGUACUAUGAAAUGUUUCUGACCCAAAAUAUUACGAAAUAGGAUUGUUUACAUUAAAAUGCAACAGUUGAUGAAAAAGUAUGAUAAGGUGAAAAAAGUGACAUUUUAUGUCUAGAAAGUCACUUUGAAUCAAAAGUACAAUAACAAAACUUAUUCACAUGCAUCCUGUGUCCCCUUACACACUUGUGCUCUUUAUCCGCUCAAAACGCUAUACAGCGAACUAGAAGGCGCUAGGAGCAAAGGAAAGUGUUUUUUUCUAACAAACUCAUAUAAUCAGUUGCCCGACCUACUCCAAUUUGAUUCUUUUCACAUAGUUAGACAUAAUAUAGUACUAUGAAAUGUUUCUGACCCAAAAUAUUAUGAAAUGCGAUUGUUUACAUUAAAAUGCAAAAGUUGAUGAAAAAAAUCAAAUUGGAGUAGGUCGGGCAACUGAUUAUAUGAGUUUGUUAGAAAAACCACUUUCCUUUGCUCCUAGCGCCUUCUCGUUCACUGUAUAGCGUUUUGAGCGGAUAAAGAUCACAAGUGUGUAAGGGGACACAGGAUGAAUGCAAACUAGUUUUGUUAUUGUACUUUUGAUGAAAACUGACUUUCUAGACAUAAAAUGUCACUUUUUUCACCUUAUCAUACUUUUUCAUCAACUUUUGCAUUUUAAUGUAAACAGUCAUAUUUCGUAAUAUUUUGGGUCAGAAACAUUUCAUAGUACUAUAUUAUGUCUA
ensembl:lncRNA